CCUACGGGUGGCAGCAGUGGGGAAUAUUGCACAAUGGGGGAAACCCUGAUGCAGCGACGCCGCGUGAGUGAAGAAGUAUUUCGGUACGUAAAGCUCUAUCAGAAGGGAAGAAAAUGACGGUAUCUGACUAAGAAGCACCGGCUAACUAUGUGCCAGCAGCCGCGGUAAUACGUAGGGGGCAAGCGUUAUCCGGAUUUAAUGGGUGGAAAGGGUGCGUAGACGGAAGCGCAGGUCUGGAGUGAAAUCCCAUGGGUUAACCAUGGAGUUGCUUUGGAAACUGUGCAGCUGGAGUGCAGGAGAGGUGAGCGGAAUUCCUAGUGUAGCGGUGAAAUGCGUAGAUAUUAGGAGGAACACCAGUGGCGAAGGCGGCUUACUGGACUGUAACUGACGUUGAGGCUCGAAAGCGUGGGGAGCAAACAGGAUUAGAUACCCGUGUAGUC
rnacentral:rRNA from 1 species